GCCUGAUUAGAAUAGUGGUAAUGCGUUGCACUCGUACUUUGACAUGCAAAGAUCACUGGUUCAAUUCCAGAUCAGGCA